UUUAAUUCGAUGCAACGCGAAGAACCUUACCAGGGCUUGACAUCCUCUGACCGCAUAUGAAAGUAUGCUUUCUGGCUUCGGUCAGACAGAGAGACAGGUGGUGCAUGGUUGUCGUCAGCUCGUGUCGUGAGAUGUUGGGUUAAGUCCCGCAACGAGCGCAACCCCUACGUUUAGUUGCUAACGUGUAACGAUGAGCACUCUAGGCGGACUGCCGUUGACAAAACGGAGGAAGGUGGGAUGACGUCAAAUCAUCAUGCCCCUUAUGUUCUGGGCUACACACGUGCUACAAUGGCCGGUACAAAGGGACGCAAAGCCGCGAGGUGGAGCAAAUCCGAUAAAAGCCGGUCUCAGUUCGGAUUGCAGGCUGCAAUUCGCCUGCAUGAAGUCGGAAUCGCUAGUAAUCGCAGGUCAGCAUACUGCGGUGAAUACGUUCCCGGGCCUU
rnacentral:rRNA from 1 species